AGUGAACGCUGGCGGUAGGCCUAACACAUGCAAGUCGAACGGCAGCACAGUAAGAGCUUGCUCUUACGGGUGGCGAGUGGCGGACGGGUGAGGAAGACAUCGGAAUCUACUUUUUCGUGGGGGAUAACGUAGGGAAACUUACGCUAAUACCGCAUACGACCUACGGGUGAAAGCAGGGGAUCUUCGGACCUUGCGCGAUUGAAUGAGCCGAUGUCGGAUUAGCUAGUUGGCGGGGUAAAGGCCCACCAAGGCGACGAUCCGUAGCUGGUCUGAGAGGAUGAUCAGCCACACUGGAACUGAGACACGGUCCCGACUCCGACGGGAGGCAGCAGUGGGGAAUAUUGGACAAUGGGCGCAAGCCUGAUCCAGCCAUACCGCGUGGGUGAAGAAGGCCUUCGGGUUGUAAAGCCCUUUUGUUGGGAAAGAAAAGCAGCAGGUUAAUACCCCGCUGUUCUGACGGUACCCAAAGAGUAAGCACCGGCUAACUUCGUG
rnacentral:rRNA from 1 species